rnacentral:rRNA from 1 species
GACGAACGCUGGCGGCGUGCUUAACACAUGCAAGUCGAACGGUGAUGCUCCAGCUUGCUGGAGUGGAUCAGUGGCGAACGGGUGAGUAACACGUGAGCAACCUGCCCCAGACUCUGGAAUAAGCGCUGGAAACGGCGUCUAAUGCUGGAUACGAAACUGGCCCGCAUGGGCAUGGUUUGGAAAGUUUUUCGGUUUGGGAUGGGCUCGCGGCCUAUCAGCUUGUUGGUGAGGUAAUGGCUCACCAAGGCGACGACGGGUAGCCGGCCUGAGAGGGCGACCGGCCACACUGGGACUGAGACACGGCCCAGACUCCUACGGGAGGCAGCAGUGGGGAAUAUUGCACAAUGGGCGAAAGCCUGAUGCAGCGACGCCGCGUGAGGGAUGACGGCCUUCGGGUUGUAAACCUCUUUCAGCAGGGAAGAAGCGAAAGUGACGGUACCUGCAGAAGAAGCACCGGCUAACUACGUG